ensembl:Y_RNA Y_RNA Y RNA
GGCUGGUCUGAUGGUAGUGUAUUAUCAGAACUUAUUAACAUUGGUGUCACUAAAGUUAAUAUACAACCCCCAACUGCUAAAUUUGACUGGCUUAAA